rnacentral:rRNA from 1 species
AUUGAACGCUGGCGGCAGGCCUAACACAUGCAAGUCGAGCGAGAGGCGGACGGGCGAGUAAUGUAUGGGGACUGCCCGAUAGAGGGGUAUAACUACUGGAAACGGUGGCUAAUACCGCAUACUAUCGGAUAACCCAUAUGGGAUUAGCUAGUAGGUGGGGUAAAGGCUCACCUAGGCGACGAGGUAUAGCUGGUCUGAGAGGAGGAGCGGCCACACUGGGACUGAGACACGGCCCAGACUCCUACGGAGGCAGCAGGGGGGAAUAUUGGACAAUGGGCGCAAGCCUGAUGGAGCCAUGCCGCGUGUAUGAAGAAGGCCUUAGGGUUGUAAAAUACUUUCAGCGGGGAGGCGUUACCCGCAGAGGAAGCACCGGCUAACUCCGUGCCAGCAGCCGCGGUAAUUC